rnacentral:piRNA from 1 species
GGGUGUUUAUUACUGAAGUAGGUGAA